GGGGGGGGGGGGGGGGGGGGGGGGGGGGGGGGGGGCGGGGGGGGGGGGCGGGCGGGGGGGGGGGGCUCGGGGGGGGGGCGGGGGGGGAGCACGGGGGUGGGCGGCCCUUGCCUUUGGGAUGACUUCGGGAGACUGGGGCUAAUACCGGGUGGGAGCUCCUGCUGCGUGGUGGGGGUGGGAAAGUUUCGGCGGUUGGGGAUGGACUCGCGGCUUAUCAGCUUGUUGGUGGGGUAGUGGCUUACCAAGGCUUUGACGGGUAGCCGGCCUGAGAGGGUGACCGGCCACAUUGGGACUGAGAUACGGCCCAGACUCCUACGGGAGGCAGCAGUGGGGAAUAUUGCACAAUGGGCGGAAGCCUGAUGCAGCAACGCCGCGUGCGGGAUGACGGCCUUCGGGUUGUAAACCGCUUUCGCCUGUGACGAAGCGUGAGUGACGGUAAUGGGUAAAGAAGCACCGGCUAACUACGUG
rnacentral:rRNA from 1 species